UACGUAGGUGGCAAGCGUUGUCCGGAUUUCUUGGGUUUCAAGGGUGCGUAGGCGGUUCUUUAAGUCAGUUGUGAAAUACGGCAGCUUAACUGUCGAGGUGCAAUUGAUACUGGAGGACUUGAGUACAGACGAGGUAGGCGGAAUUGACGGUGUAGCGGUGAAAUGCAUAGAUAGCGUCAAGAACACCGAUAGCGAAGGCAGCUUACUAGACUGUAACUGACGCUGAGGCACGAAAGUGUGGGGAGCAAACAGG
rnacentral:rRNA from 1 species